rnacentral:rRNA from 1 species
UACGGAGGGGGCUAGCGUUGUUCGGAAUUACUGGGCGUAAAGCGCACGUAGGCGGCUUUGUAAGUUAGAGGUGAAAGCCCAGGGCUUAACCCUGGAAUUGCCUUUAAGACUGCAUCGCUAGAAUCGUGGAGAGGUGAGUGGAAUUCCGAGUGUAGAGGUGAAAUUCGUAGAUAUUCGGAAGAACACCAGUGGCGAAGGCGACUCACUGGACACGUAUUGACGCUGAGGUGCGAAAGCGUGGGGAGCGAGCCGG